GAAGUAGCCGCGGCCGCCAUUGUGCGGCGCUGGUCCACUUAAAGGGUGACAGCUGCGGUCCGCGCUUUGGGCUGUCGUCGUAGCUUCUUGGUCUCCUGUCCGCGGAGCCCGGCGGGACCGGGACUCCCGUCCGUGCCGGUGCGGGCGCCGGCAUGUGGCUCUGGGAGGAACAGGGGGGCCUCAUGGGCCCCUUCUCCUUCCUGAUGCUGGUGCUGCUGCUGGUGACGCGCAGUCCCUUCAAUGCCUGCCUCUUCACCGGCAGCCUCUACCUCCUGCUGCGCCUCUUCAGCUUUGAGCCGGUGCCCUCCCUCAGGACCAUGCAGGUGCUCAGGCCCCGGGACCGCGUCUCCGCCAUCGCCCACCGCGGCGGCAGCCACGACGCGCCCGAGAACACGCUGGCGGCCAUUCGGCAGGCAGCUAAGAAUGGAGCAACAGGCGUGGAGUUGGACCUUGAGUUUACUUCUGAUGGGAUUCCUGUCUUAAUGCACGAUAGCACAGUAGAUAGGACAACUGAUGGCACCGGUCGAUUGUGUGAUUUGACAUUUGAACAAAUUAGGAAGCUUAAUCCUGCAGCAAAUCACAGAUUAAGGAAUGAUUUCCCUGAUGAAAAGAUUCCUACCCUGAGAGAAGCUGUUGCAGAGUGCCUAGACCAUAACCUCACAAUCUUCUUUGAUGUCAAAGGCCAUGCAAAUAUGGCUACUGAUGCUCUAAAGAAAGUAUAUAUGGAGUUUCCUCACCUGUACAAUAAUAGUAUUGUCUGCUCUUUCUUGCCAGAAGUUAUCUAUAAGAUGAGACAAGCAGAUCAGAAUGUAGUAACAGCUUUAAUUCACAGACCUUGGAGCCUUAGCCAUACAGGAGAUGGGAAACCACGCUUUGAUACUUUCUGGAAACAGUCCAUGUUUGUGGCAUUGGACAUUUUGCUCGAUUGGAGUAUGCAUAAUAUCUUGUGGUACUUGUGUGGAAUUUCAGCUUUCCUCAUACAAAAGGAUUUUGUAUCUCCGGACUACUUGAAGAAGUGGUCAGCUAAAGGCAUUCAGGUUGUUGCUUGGACUGUUAAUACUUUCGAUGAAAAAAGUUACUAUGAAUCCCAUCUUGGUUCCAGCUAUAUCACUGACAGCAUGUUGGAAGACUGCACACCUCAGUUCUAGGCUUUUCCCCCAGGGAGGAAACACAGCAGAACAGAGAUUCAGUGAAUGGAACAGAUAUCUAAGCUGCAUGACUUCCAUUUCACGUUAUGACUAGAGUGACAAGAGGAAGAGAAAGGAACCAAAGAAAACAUGUGUGGACUGAAUUCCCCCUUUGGCUUACCUGCAGAGGCUAUACAGCGAAUGACAGGGAAGAAAUUCUCUUGGGGGCAGCACAGAGUUCACAACAUCCCUUCUGUGGUGUGAAGACCUUUUGAGAGCCAGAAGUUCUCUGUCUCUUGACCUUUGUCCCAAAUCCGUAUUGCACUUGACUCAGCCAGGCCCAAUUAAGGAUUGAGAUCCUAUGCUAAGGUGGUCGUGGGCCUUGAAGAAUGGAGAAUUCAGAUGAAGAAAGAAGGUGUUAAUUACUUACUUGGAAGAUGAGGAAAUUUGGACACAAAGGUACACCAGGAUGUGCACACAGAGGAAAGACCAUGUGAGGACACAGCAAGAAGGUGGCCAUCUACAGGCCAAGGAGAGAGGCCUCAGAAUGAAACCAAAACUCUGGACACCUUGAUCUUAGACUUCCCACCUCUGGAACUGUGAAAAAAUGAAUUUCUGUUGUUUAAGCCUCCAGUCUGUGCUAUGGAUUAUGGCAGCUCUAGCAAACUAAUAUAUCCCCUAUAUCUCAAGACCAAGGAUGUAAGGAUGUUACACACAUCCAAAUGUGUGUGUGAGACCUACAGACUAGAUCUUUCUACUGUGUUUGCUCCUCCAGGAGAAGCAGGGGCUACACUGAAGUAAAGAUAAGAGGUGGAGCUUCCCUGGUGGCACAGUGGUUGAGAAUCUGCCUGCCAGUGCAGGGGACACGGCUUCAAGCCCUGGUCUGGGAAGGUCCCACAUGCCACGGAGCAACUAGGCCCGUGAGCCACAAUUACUGAGCCUGCGCGUCUGGAGCCUGUGCUCCUCAACAAGAGAGGCCACGAUAGUGAGAGGCCCGCGCACCGCGAUGAAGAGUGGCCCCCGCUUGCCGCAACUAGAGAAAGCCCUCACACAGAAACGAAGACCCAACACAGCCAUAAAUAAAUAAAUAAUUCCCAUUUAAAAAAAAAAAAAAAAAGAUAAGAGGUGAAUGGAGAAGCAGUCCGGAUAUAAGCCCUGAGCAUAUGGGAAGUGAGCAAAAAUGAUGCUUCCAGAGGGAGUUCACAUUUCAGUGCAGAAGCCAAAGAAGCACAAAUAGCAUUAGGAUAACACACAGGGGGGAAAAAAUCCCUUCAAAUAUCAAUUGCACAGACUGCCUUCACUGACCCCACAGACAAGUUAAGUCUCCCAUUGUCCCUUGGGCUUCUCCUUCAUGGCACCUGCUAUAAGUAAUUACUGUUUAAUUAUUAAGUUCCUGCCUAAAGUGAUCUGCUAGACAGUACAUGAGAGCGGAGGCUGUGUCUUGACUUGUGCACCAUCUUGUUCCCCUCCACUUGGUACAUAUUUGUUGAACGAAGGAAUGAACAAACAAGCACUUCUAGCAACCACUAGCAAAGAUGGUACCAAAAGAACUUAAUUCAGCUGAUGAAUGAAUUAGUGAGCAAAUAAGUCAAUGAAGAAGUGAACCAAUGACUGAGCACUGACUGGAUCUUUGUGUUUUAAAUUCAUCUUAAAUGUUUUCUAAAUUCAGUUCCAAUUAGAUUUCAUGACAGUGAUUACUCAAGAGGAGAUUUCUCCUCCCGAGUAAUUUGGUAAUUGCACUUUUCUGCUGGACCCUUCCGUUUUAAGCAGAGUCAGGUGCCUUGUGAAUCAUUUAGGAAAUCUGCAAAAAAAUGCUUUAUACAUGUAUGUGUGCAUAUGUACACACACACACAUAUACAUACAUAUACAUACACAUACAUAUUCAAUAUAUAUAUUCCACACAUCACCACCGAUUUCAUGUUUGGUUCAAUGUAAGACUCUGAUGAUUGUGCAUAAAACCUCACAGGGGUAGUGUCCCCGUCCAAUCCAAAAGACUCGUGUACUCAAUGUGCAAUAAAGGUCAUAGACGAGCCCUCUGGUUGUUUUUCACCUUUGGGAAAAAUGGGGAUGUUUUUAGUUCAAAGUCAUGAACAAAUGCAGGUUCUACAAUUCAGACGCUUCACAUCCCUGAUCGAGGGUCACAUUUUUAUUCAGGCUGGACCACUUGUCUUAGCACCCGUCUCCAAACCUUUGCCAGGUCUGGGAGUUCUGGGAGUGGAGAUUUCUAAGGAUCAAUAAUUCAUACGCAUAUCUCUUAAACUACAACUCUUCCCAGGUUUUUGUGAACUAGUUCAAAUAUUACACGUCUUUACAGGAAAAUCUCAAAUAUUUUGUCUGGAAAAAUCAGCAAUUCAGGUGUAAAAAAAAACAGCAGGGAAUGCCCAGUUUUACUUCUGUAUUUACAUUGUAGUCAGUUUCCACUCCUGGCUAAAGGCUUGAAUUUCCCAUCUGGGAAUCUCCUAAAGGCCCAGGUGUCAUGGAGGAAGCUGCUCCAUCUUUAUCUAUCUUCUUUCCUUAUUUGGUUGGUGUCUGGGUACCACAAUAAUUAUCAGGCCUUUGGAUUAUCUUCUUGAACUGAUCGCCUAAAUCGCAGGUCUGGGUUUGAUACAGGAGAAGAGAAGUUAGCACAGAGGCACACUGCCCCAUAUCUCCAAGGGAAAGACCAAAUUAGCUCUCAAGAUCCCACAGCUUCUCAGGCCUUCCUUGCCUCCUCCUUUUAAGUUUCUUCAAUUCUCUCCCUUGAACUCCCAUCAUUGGAUGCUGUCAGUGAAUGCUAUUCCAAAAAGAUGAAUGGGUUUAUUUGUUUCCUCCCCAACAUUCAUUCCCCUCCUGGCAUCAGCCACAGGUUUUCUUUGGAAAGCCACCCUUCUCCACUCUCUCAGUCCCUGUGGCCUGUAUGUUUGUACCACCUGUAUCUAGAGGUGAGGUCUGAGACUCAGACCUGGCCAAUGAAAUCAUCACAGUCUCUUGGCCACAGCAAUUGGUUCAGAUCCAAUGAAACACAAUGAGAAUCUGGAUCUCUUUCACACUAGACUUGAAUCUGAGAAGAUACAAGAAGCUAAGAAAGCUGUCUUGUAAUUAUCAGGAGAUAACAUGGAAAAGAACUGAACAGAAAGAAACCAGGUUCUGGUGACAUACUGUGAGCCCCUGCUUCUGGCCACACCUAAAGCAAGAAUUAUUGUUGAGUUUUGGCUAAAGCCAAUUUGGGCCAGUUCUUGCAAUUGAACGAGUGACUGAUACAGGAGCAGUUCUGACCCUCUGUCUUGGGACCUGUCAUCUGGAUGGAUUAGGCCCUUCUUCAGUGCCAGUCGGGUACUCACCUCGAGCAGCAGCAUGUUCUCUGACACGCAGAGGACCAGAUUGCUAAAAAAGAAGAAGAGAAGACAUCUCAUCACUGGAAGAGAGUGUACACCUCAGAUCCUGCUGCAUCAGUGGUGAGACUUGUGAGCCCUCACCAUUUUAAUAUGAACAGGUGACAGAUUAAAACCAAGAUUCAGCCAUAGAAAUAUCAAACAUGUUUUGUUUCACUUUUUAUGGGCAGUGAUUCCAUUCAUUUAAUCAUUCAUUCACAGAUAUUUACUGAGCAUUUACAAUAUAUACCAGGUAAUAUAUUAGGACCUGCCAAGGUACACUCAUGAUCCUUGCCUUCAAAGGAUUUAGAGCUGGGCCUCUAGAUCCCUUACCUAUAUUGUGCUGGUGGUAUUGAUUUGCACAGGCAGUAAACGACAUGGUAGUCUCUUCUGACAAGAUCAUAACUUCUAAAACUAGUAGCAUUUGAAUUAACGUGGGUUUACUGUUUAUCCGCAUUUUCUAGGACACCAAGGAAGCCAGCACAGGCUUUGGUAUUAGAGCAGGAUUCCAGGCAUCUCUUGUUAUGAAUGAAAUUGGUAAAAAUCUUUUUAAGAGCGUGAUAUGGCAAUAUCUGUUAACAUUAUCAUGUGCAUGCCUGUGGCAGAUAAAACACUCACAUAAAACAAUUAUAAUAAAAAAAAUGUUUCAUUACACAACUUUUUUAGUAUUAAAAAAAAAAAAAACUGGAAACAACCCAAAUGUCCAAGUAGGUACAGACUGAAACAAUGUCUGAGAUAUAGUAUUAAGCGGGGAGAGGGGGAGUUAUGUGUAAAAAGAACCCCUUUUUUGUAAUAAAUAAAUAAACAAGAAUGUUAGUAGAUGCAUGCUUGUUUGCAGAUGCCUGGGGGAAAGAUCUGGAAGAAUAUACACUGAAUCAUUAACCUAGUGGGGUGAGAUUUCAAGCCAUUUUUCAUCUCAGUGGGAUAUACUUCUGUUUGGUUGGGUUAUGGAAAAGAUACAGGCAAGCCCCACGAGGGCAGAGCCCUACUGUGGUACCAUGAUAACCCCAGCACCUAGAACAGGACCAGGCAUAGAACAUGGUGAAUGCGUAUUAUUUUUUUUAAUAAAAAAUACAGAAAUGUUAAAACACAGAAAGUGAAGUGCCCUGAUGUGAUUCUAGUUCCCUGAUGCACUUUUCCCAGGAGGGCACAUCUGUGUCAUAGGGAUCCCAAGGCGGCUUCCAGCCUCACCUCCACAUCUCUCCCUUCUGGCGUAAACAAGGUGGGGCUUGCUCUCUUCUCCAUAUCCUGCAGCUUGAUCAACUUUUCUAUCAGGAACAUUUUGUCUUUGCCCUCCUGCCAAGAAGGAAAACAAAAACAAAAACAUGGAGGAUGAAUGAUGGUGUGGGAUUGGGAAGCAAAUGAUAGAAAGGUUGAUUUUUAGGCAGGUAGGGUCCUGGACAUUGGCUUCGCCACCAGGGAAGUCCAGUUUCCUUAAUUUUAAAAUAGAGGUUAAAGAAAUAAAUGUGCUCGGGACUUCCCUGGUGGCACAGUGGUUAAGAAUCCGCCUGCCAAUGCAGGAGACAUGGGUUCGAGCCCUGGUCCAGGAAGAUUCCACAUGCCGUGAAGCAACUAAGCCCAUAAGCCACAACUACUGAAGCCCGGGCGCCUAGAGCCCUUGCUCCCCAGCGAGAGAAGCCACCGCAAUGAGAAGCCCAUGCGCAGCGAAGAGUAGCCCCCGCUCGCCACAACUAGAGAAAAACCCGCUCGCAGCAAUGAAGACCCAACGCAGCCAAAAAUAAAUAAAAUAAAUUAAAAUUGCUAAAAAAAAAAGAAAUAAAUAUGCUAAACACCACUGCAGGGUUACAAAUCGUAUAUAUCCAGAAUGUGGGAACUACUACAAGACAAAAGACCUGGUUUCUCCAACAAUAAAUGUCAAGAGAAGCGGGAAGUGUGAACAGCUAUAGAUUGAAAGAAACAUAAAAGACACAUCAACCAAAUGCAACAUGUGACACUUUUUCAGAUUUUGACUUGAGUAAUCCUGCUGUAAAAAGACACUUAAUGGGACAAUUGGGGAAAUUUGACCAUUGA